rnacentral:rRNA from 1 species
AUAUUGGUCAAUGGGUGAGAGCCUGAACCAGCCAUGCCGCGUGCAGGAAGACGGCCUUCUGGGUUGUAAACUGCUUUUGUCAGGGGAUAAAAUUUCCUUGCGAGGAAAAUUGAAGGUACCUGGCGAAUAAGCCACGGCUAACUACGUGCCAGCAGCCGCGGUAAUACGUAGGUGGCGAGCGUUGUCCGGAUUUAUUGGGUUUAAAGGGUGCGUAGGCGGCCACAUAAGUCAGUGCUGAAAUAUUCCGGCUUAACCGGGAGGGUGGCAUUGAUACUGCGUGGCUAGAGUACAGAUGAGGUAGGCGGAAUUGACGGUGUAGCGGUGAAAUGCUUAGAUAUCGUCAAGAACACCUAUAGCGAAGGCAGCUUACUAGGCUGUAACUGACGCUGAGGCACGAAAGUGUGGGGAUCAAAC